GGAAUUUUGGGUUUUUUGGAAGAGAAAAACACAUGUGUGUGUCGCCACAGUGUUUUGGUUUUUUCUCGGCCGCCCAAGUAGACGGCGCGUAGUUUUUCAUUUUGACGGGAGUUUUACUUUCGGUCGUCGCCUUACACUCAUUUCUAAUUGUGAUUCGUAGGAAGUAAGUUGUCUAGUGCUAUAUAUAUAUUCAAGUAAAAUUGUUUUAAAUCGGAACACACAACAAUAAUAUACAAGCAAACACCACCAAAUAUCGGAAAAGAAAGAAGAGCAAAUAAUUAAAUUACAAUAGAAACCAAGAGAAUAUCACGCAAAAUCCCAUCAUCCCAUCGUCUUUGGUCUUCUGGUUCUUGUUCAUCACCAACGUUAUCGAUAUUGAUAUUAAAUAGUCUGUGGAUAUUAAGAUACUUAUAUACAAACGCAUCGUAUCUGGGAUAAACGUUUACCACCAGGAAUAUUAAUGAUACGCAACGGCUGUAACUGUAAACUGUGUCCCCUCUCACGUAAGACGUAACGUAAGGCAGCCUGUGGAAACGACGUAUAGUUUGGACGCAAUCAGAAAAAUCUCUACGGAGGACGCAGCUAACGCAAGAAGUACAGCCAACUGUAUACAUGCGUGCUACAAGUAAACCAGUGAAAGACAUCUCAAUAGCCCCAGCCGUCGCAUAACCGUCAUUCAAUCCAAUCCGAUCCGAUCCGAUUCGAUCUGAUUCGUUUUGAGCUGAUCUAAUACAACCUCCGCCGUACCCAAAAAACAAUAUAAAUUGCAAAACACCGGAGCCGCUCGAUCCAGCGAACGGCAGCGACAAGAAGUUUUUCGGCCAGCGCGCACCCCCAAUCUCCAGAAACAGCCUCAAGAUUCUGCCCUUCGGAGCACCCAACUUUCGUCUGGAGACGACACCCGCUGAGAUGCACAAGAUAGCAGCAGCGCCGCCUCCAUCGGCAACGCCCGGCGGAGGACUGGAGACGCCCCUGGCGGCGCCCAAAUACGGCACACUAAUACCCAAUCGCAUCUUUGUGGGUGGCAUCAGCGGCGAUACCACCGAGGCCGAUCUAACCCGCGUCUUCAGCGCCUAUGGCACGGUAAAGAGCACCAAAAUCAUCGUGGAUCGAGCAGGCGUGAGCAAGGGCUACGGAUUCGUCACCUUCGAGACGGAGCAGGAGGCGCAAAGACUGCAAGCGGAUGGUGAAUGCGUGGUACUACGAGAUCGGAAGCUGAACAUUGCACCGGCCAUCAAAAAGCAGCCCAAUCCUCUGCAGUCAAUUGUGGCCACAAACGGAGCCGUCUACUAUACCACCACGCCGCCGGCACCGAUCAGCAAUAUACCUAUGGAUCAGUUCGCAGCCGCUGUAUAUCCGCCAGUUACUGACUUUACAGCCGCUGGAGUGCCAGCCAUCUACCCACCUUCAGCCAUGCAAUAUCAGCCAUUCUAUCAGUACUACAGUGUGCCAAUGAAUGUACCCACCAUUUGGCCUCAGAAUUACCAAGGUUAAAUCCGAAAAAAAAGAAAAACAUAAAGUAAACAAAUUUUCGUAGUCGCCAAUUUUUCGUUGAGAGCUGCCCUGAAUAAUAAAAUCAUACCAACAACUAAACUGCAACAACAACAACUGCAACGACAACUACAAACUACAACAAUCUGCGACAACAACAACUACAACAACAAUACCACGCUAUAUGCUAUAUAUGAAUUUAUCCAUGUUAACUUUGAGGAUGCAACAGCAACAGCAACAAUAGUGAUGCUACUACUACUACUACUACCAAAACAAGAACAACAACAAACAUGCAACAAAGAGCCACAGCAACAAAAGUAAACUACAAAGCAUAAAUAGAAUUUAUAUAAGCUGAGACACAGAAAUACACGCACCACAGCUGCAAUUUCGGAAAUGUUUAGUCAAAGGAAAUCGUAUAUUGAAGGUAGAAGCUCUGGAAGGACACUCACCCACACAAGCACACACACCUACACGCAUACAUACAUAUAGAGCGCAAGGAAACCAUUGCAAAAUGCUGUAAAGUAAGCUGCUUAUGUUAUUAGGGAUGUUGCCAGUGUGGCAGUGUGAGUGAGUGUGAUGAGUGAUGGGGGAUAAAAUUUUGGUAGAGGAAACAUUUAUGAUGUGCAAUUAGCGGUGGAGCAGGGGAGGGGUAGCGGGGGAAGGGGCUAUAACCAUAGGGACGUCGACAGGACUGCAGUGUGUGUGGAAAGUCAGCAAGUGAAAGACAGAAAAAUAUAUAUGUAGAACUAGAGCCAGAGGAGGAGAACUUAAAACCAUAUUUAAACUAUACUAUAUAGGAAACAUCAUGCUAAACAUACAAAACUGGAUAAUUCAGAUGCAGCAGAUGAUGUGGAAAGCACUCACACUCAAACCAACAAACACCCACAUACACACACACACGUGCAGGACGAACGCACUUAUAAAUAUACUAUAUAGGGAAUAAACAAGCAAAAUUGCAUAACACACACUAUAUACUAUACUAAGAAAGCGGGGCAGCGAUCGAAGAUUAAAGACAUAAUAUUAUGCAUAAAUUAAUUUAUAUACAUAUAUACAAUACAUAUAAAGCGUAAAGUAACUGUAACUCGUAACUGUAACUGUAACUGUCCCACACAGACACAUACAGCAAUACAAAGCAAAAAGAUGAAUAAGCAAAGGAGACGACAAAGUCAAGCAGCAAAGCAAGCACACACUAAAACUCUUACACACACACACACAGACGCACACCCACGAGUCCUGGGCGGAAAGUCAAGGAUAACUUAUGAAAAUUCCCUUAACUUUCCGAUCAGUAUUCGUUUAAAAGGAAAUGAAAACCUAACUUGUAAGCCAAGCAAAAGAAAACUGAACGAAAUUUUAGUCUAAAAGAAAAUACUAAUGGAGGACAAGUAAAAAUCAUGAAAUCUAGCCACAUAAGCCAAGCAAAAAGUGAACUAAAUACAAAAAAAGAAAAAAAACAAAAAACACUACAAUAAAGAUAUUCAAAAUAUGCUAGCUAAAAAGGCGAAAAACAUACACACAACUCCCGACUAUUAUAAACGGGAGGCAUAUAUUAGAGAGACUAUUAAAGGAAAGCUAAACUCAAAGCUCUAGCGAAAAGAAAAUAGAUAAAAAAAAACUCAAGCAAUACAUAGACACUCAUAGGUGUGUGUUACACAAGAAUAUAGUUAAAUAUAUACGAAAUGCAAGCAAACGUAAAAUAAAAUAAUAAUUUAAUAAACUAAUGUACAAGCGAAAAUCAAGCAAAACAAGCUCUGCGUAAAUGUUGAUUUAUUAUUUCUGUUUUUCUACACUCACUUAAGAUUUUGUUGUAUCUAUUGUUAUGAUGAUGGCAUCAAAACUAAUCAAAAACACGAACGAGAAAAGCGAGAUGUGUUAACCAAAAUUAUUUAAAGUAAUGCGAACGCGAUGGCCAAACAUUUGCGGGGGCAGCCGGCGACCUGCGAGCGAAUUCCAUUCAAAAUUGGUGCAUAAUUUGGCUGAAAUAUGAAAAUUCGAGAUAAAUAUUUACAUAUACGUGUAUGCCUUAUUGAACGAAACUAAAUUAUUUGCCCACUAAAUACUGUUAUCGUAUUGUAAUAAACCAACCCAGAGGUUUCAAAAAUACCUGCUAAAACAGAUGUCGCCGAGGUCGCCCACAUUCAAAUCCCAAACAAAAAAAUAAAAACAAUUUGGUUGAGACUCGCUGCCGCCGCAAAUGGACUUCGCUGCGAAGUUGUUGACAAAUUUUUACUAAAUUGUUAAAUAGUUAAAUACAAAACAUUUUUAAAUCGAAUCGUAACAAUAAUUAGACAUGAAAAAUUACUCUUUGUUGAAACGAAGCAACACAAAUGUAAUGUAAUGAAAUGGAAAGCAAUAAUUCACUUAGGCAUGCUCUAGUUAAAAACUAAAACUGAAAUCAAGUCGAAGAAGCAACAUAGAAACCACCAACCAACAGUACUUACAUGUAUGUCAGUCAAUAGGGAUUUUAUUUAGUUCGAAGGCCCGGAUUCGAGCACUGGGAUCAUCCAUCUAUCAUCCAGUCCCAGUUGAAUCCAAAUUGCUGGGUGGGAUGUGAGGCCUAAUUUCGAAAUGAGUUCUUCAUUCACUCUUUUCAACCAGCCAUCCCAGCAAUUUAAUCUUCCGCAGACUAAUCAGACACACAGAACCGAUCAUAACUAAUAAAUCCAAGGCAUAACUUAAGUAUAUACGUGAUAUUUUGAAAGCGAAAAUUCAUAAAUAAAUUGUUUAGGUUUAAAACAAUAUUAAAUAUAUUAUACAGAUAUAUACAUAUAUACAUUAUAAAGAUAAUGCCAAGGCAUAAUUAAAACCAUAACGAUUAAUUAAUUAAAGAACGAAUGAACAUUUUUGCUGACAAACAAAAAAGAAAACAAAGAAAAGGAAAACCAAAAGAAAAACAAACAACUGAGACGAGUAAAAUGUUUGUAAACUCAAUUUAUUGUACGACUUGAAUGAAGGAGAGCGAAAAGAAGUUCUUAAGUUUUUACUGAACAGCAGCAAAGAGCAGAGAGCAGAUUGUCCCAUCGUAAAAAUCUAUUUAGUUUAUAUAUAGUGAAUAUUUAUAUUAUAUAUACAUAUAUAUAUUAAAUGAACAAAUGGCAAGUAACAAACAAACCAACAAAAAAGAAAUAGCAAUUAGACGAACGUAAAAGGAAAGUGAAAAAUUAUAUAUAUAUACAAUACAUAUAUAUCAUAGCGCAAAGAAUAAUAUAUAUUUUAAUGAAGGAACAUCAACUGAUUAAGUGCAGCUCAACUAAGAGCACAAAAUGUUUUUAGACUAAGUACCUACCUACCUAAAUGAAUUCAGCAAUUGCAUAAUAUACAAAAGAUAGGCGAGAACGCUGAAAAGGCGCCAGGCCCAGAGAAGGGAAAUAAGAUUCUACUUCUACGGAGUCUAAUUUGUAUAAUUAUAUAUAAACGUGCAUAUUACGAGGAUAAUGCCCCAUGAUCAUCACAAAAACCAAUUAAACAAAAACGAAGCAUAUUUAACCACAUACAACAACCACACACCCACACACACACUAUACUACCUAUAAAUAUAGAAAUGAGAAAGAAGAAAAGAACGCAUAAAUAGCAAUAACAAUAAAGCAACAGCUACUUAAUAAUUUUAGCAAAAUGCAAAAAAAAAUAUGAAUAGCAAAAUA